rnacentral:lncRNA from 1 species
UUGAAUGUUUUAUUUUGUUCUGGAUCAAGAACCUCUAGCAAUGCUGAAGCUGGAUCUCCACGAACAUCAGAACCUGUCUUGUCCACUUCAUCAAGCAACAUAACAGGAUUGCAAACAGCUACUCUCUAUAUGUCAAAUUCCAUCUAUAAGUCGCCCAGGCAUGCUUCCAACAUAGGUUCUCCUAUGUCCUCUAAUAUCAGCUUCAUCCUUGACUCCACCAAGUGA